AGAUUAUCACCACAGCAGGAGGGAGGGCUGUUUCCUGAGCCAGCAGGGAGCUCUGAAGGCAGAGGACACUGUGUUCUGAGACCUCUCCACCGAGCGGAGGACUCGAUGUUGAAGACCUAAUCUGACGUGCGACUCUGUUUGAGAAGGGGACUUUAAGGAGGUUUCGCCUCUCAUCCUACGUGGCAGGGUAUCGCGGUGUAGCGGUUACAAACGUACGAACACUGGAAUAGGACAGAUGUGAGUGGGCGUCAUAGCUUCUGCUCCCACCAGACCUCUGAGCCUCAGUUUAUUCGUCUGUAAAAUGAGCACAGAGUAUCCACCCUGGGGCUUGGUUGGGAAGAUUAGUUGAGGUCGUGACAUAAUGCCUAAGCCCACAAUAAAUGCUAAAUGCGAGCUA